rnacentral:rRNA from 1 species
GACGAACGCUGGCGGCGUGCCUAAUACAUGCAAGUAGAACGCACAGUUUAUACCGUAGCUUGCUACACCAUAGACUGUGAGUUGCGAACGGGUGAGUAACGCGUAGGUAACCUGCCUGGUAGCGGGGGGUAACUAUUGGAAACGAUAGCUAAUACCGCAUCAUAUUGAUUAUUGCAUGAUAAUUGAUUGAAAGCUGCUAUUGCAUCACUACCAGCUGGACCUGCGUUGUAUUAGCUAGUAGGUGAGGUAACGGCUCACCUAGGCGACGGUACAUAGCCGACCUGAGAGGGUGAUCGGCCACACUGGGACUGAGACACGGCCCAGACUCCUACGGGAGGCAGCAGUAGGGAAUCUUCGGAAAUGGACGAAAGUCUGACCGAGCAACGCCGCGUGAGUGAAGAAGGUUUUCGGAUCGUAAAGCUCUGUUGUAAGAGAAGAACGGGUGGGAGAGUGGAAAGUUCACACUGUGACGGUAUCUUACCAGAAAGGGACGGCUAACUACGUG